rnacentral:rRNA from 1 species
AGGAUUAGAUACCUGGUAGUCACGCGUAAACGAUGAGUGCUAAGUGUUAGGGGGUUCCGCCCUUUAGUGCUGCAGCUAACGCAUUAAGCACUCCGCUGGGGAGUACGACCGCAAGGUUGAAACUCAAAGGAAUUGACGGGGGCCCGCACAAGCGGUGGAGCAUGUGGUUUAAUUCGAAGCAACGCGAAGAACCUUAUCAGGUCUUGACAUCCUUUGACCACUCUAGAGAUAGAGCUUUCCCUCCGGGGACAAAGUGACAGGUGGUGCAUGGUUGUCGUCAGCUCGUGUCGUGAGAUGUUGGGUUAAGUCCCGCAACGAGCGCAACCCUUAUUGUUAGUUGCCAUCAUUCAGUUGGGCACUCUAGCGAAACUGCCGGUGACAAACCGGAGGAAGGUGGGGAUGACGUCAAAUCAUCAUGCCCCUUAUGACCUGGGCUACACACGUGCUACAAUGGACAGUACAAUGAGCAGCGACACGGCGACGUGAAGCGAAUCUCAUAAAGCUGUUCUCAGUUCGGAUUGUAGGCUGCAACUCGCCUACAUGAAGCCGGAAUCGCUAGUAAUCGCGGAUCAGCACGCCGCGGUGAAUACGUUCCCGGGCCUUGUACACACCGCCCGUCACACCACGAAAGUUUGUAACACCCAAAGUCGGUGAGGUAACCUUCGGGAGCCAGCCGCCUAAGGUGGGAUAGAUGAUUGGGGUGAAGUCGUAACAAGGUAACCA